rnacentral:rRNA from 1 species
CGGGGGCCCGCACAAGCAGUGGAGCAUGUGGUUUAAUUAGAAGCAACGCGCAGAACCUUGCCAGGGCUAGAAAAACGGAGAGUCCUGACGAAACUCGGGAGUGCUCGCAAGAGAACUCCGGUCCAGGUGCUGCAUGGCUGUCGUCAGCUCGUGUCGUGAGAUGUUGGGUUAAGUCCCGCAACGAGCGCAACCCUUAUCCUUAGUUGCCAUCAUUUAGUUGGGCACUCAAAGGAGACUGCCGGGGUCAACCCGGAGGAAGGUGGGGAUGACGUCAAGUCCUCAUGGCCCUUAUGUCCUGGGCUACACACGUGCUACAAUGGUUGAUACAAAGCGCUGCGGAGCCGCGAGGUGGAGCGAAUCGCAAAAAGUCAGCCUCAGUACGGAUUGCACUCUGCAACUCGAGUGCAUGAAGUCGGAAUUGCUAGUAAUCGCUGAUCAGCAGGCAGCGGUGAAUACGUUCCCGGGCCUUGUACACACCGCCCGUCACACCAUGGGAGUCGAGUGCUCCAGAAGUGGCCGCGCUAACCCGCAAGGGAGGCAGGUCCCCAAGGAGUGUUUGGUAACUGGGGUGAAGUCGUAACAAGGUAGCCGUAA